CCCUGCCCCCUAAAUACAGUGGCGGUCGCGCCGCAGCCUCCCCUGCGUAGUAGCACACCUCGCACCGGAGAGCGGCUCGGCCACGCCGUGAAACCCCCCACUAUUUCAAGGUUGACCUCGGAUCAGGUAGGAAUACCCGCUGAACUUAAGCAUAUCAAUAAGCGGAGGAAAAGAAACCAACAGGGAUUGCCUCAGUAACGGCGAGUGAAGCGGCAACAGCUCAAAUUUGAAAUCUGGCCGCAAGGUCCGAGUUGUAAUUUGCAGAGGAUGCUUUUGGCGAGGUGCCUUCCGAGUUCCCUGGAACGGGACGCCACAGAGGGUGAGAGCCCCGUACGGUCGUGCCACCGAGCCUCUGUAAAGCUCCUUCGACGAGUCGAGUAGUUUGGGAAUGCUGCUCUAAAUGGGAGGUGUACGUCUUCUAAAGCUAAAUACCGGCCAGAGACCGAUAGCGCACAAGUAGAGUGAUCGAAAGAUGAAAAGCACUUUGAAAAGAGGGUUAAAAAGUACGUGAAAUUGUUGAAAGGGAAGCAUUCAUGACCAGACUUGGGCUUGGUUGAACAUCCGGCGUUCUCGCCGGUGCACUCUGCCAGCCCAGGCCAGCAUCAGUUUGCCCCGGGGGACAAAGGCGGCGGGAAUGUGGCUCCCCACGGGGAGUGUUAUAGCCCGCCGCGCAAUGCCCUGGGGCGGACUGAGGUUCGCGCUCCGGCACGG
rnacentral:sRNA from 1 species